GAUGAAGAACGCAGCAAAACGCGAUAGCUAGUGUGAAUUGCAGAUUUUCGUGAAUCAUCGAGUCUUUGAACGCACAUUGCGCCCCCUGGUAUUCCGGGGGGCAUGCCUAUUCGAGCGUCGUGGUCACGCUUCAAGCCCGGCUUGAUGAUGGGGAACGCCCUCUCUCGGGGGGGGGCCUCCUUCAAAUGCAACUCCAGACGCCUCGUUGGCUGGGAGCGCAGCAGCAGUGCGCUUCCCCGAGGCGACCGGAUGCCCCUCGUGGGCUCGAGAUUGCAAGACCUCGAAUUAGGCAGGGAUACCCGCUGAACUUAAGCAUAUCAAUAAGCGGAGGA
rnacentral:misc_RNA from 1 species